rnacentral:sRNA from 1 species
AUCACUGCCCGGCGCGUGGCUCAGGCUCGGGCGGAGCUGGAGACGCGUGGAGCUGUUCGAGGACUCGCGGGUGUGCAGUGCACCUAUGAUAUGUGUUUUAGAAAUAGCUGUUAAACUUUGGUUUGAAUGAAGAAUGUCUCUCAAUCCACCUAUAUUUCUCAAACGAAGUGAAGAAAAUAAUUCAAAAUUUGUGGAAACAAAACAGUCACAAACUACUUCCAUAGCUUCAGAAGAUCCCCUUCAAAACUUAUGUUUAGCAUCUCAAGAAGUUCUUCAAAAAGCUCAGCAAAGUGGAAGAUCAAAAUGUCUCAAAUGUGGUGGUUCCAGAAUGUUCUACUGCUAUACAUGUUAUGUUCCAGUUGAAAAUGUACCCAUUGAACAGAUUCCACUUGUGAAGAUGGGACCAUCAAGUUGCAGGAAAACAAGCUCAGGGCUCCUGCUGAUUUUACAUUAUGCUUCCAUUGAAGAUUGACAUCAUUAAACAUCCAAAUGAAACAGAUGGCAAAAGUACUGCUAUACAUGCAAAACUCUUAGCACCUGAAUUUGUAAACAUUUACACGUAUCCUUGUAUUCCAGAAUAUGAAGAAAAGGACCAUGAAGUUGCACUCGUUUUUCCUGGACCUCAGUCUAUCUCAAUAAAAGAUAUUUCUUUUCAUCUGCAAAAAAGGAUUCAAAAUAAUGUUAGAGGCAAAAAUGAUGACCCUGACAAGCCAUCUUUUAAACGCAAAAGAGCUGAAGAACAAGAGUUCUGUGAUUUGAAUGACAGCAAGUGCAAAGGCACAACACUGAAAAAA